rnacentral:rRNA from 1 species
AUUGAACGCUGGCGGCAUGCCUUACACAUGCAAGUCGAACGGUAACGGGCCUUCGGGUGCCGACGAGUGGCGAACGGGUGAGUAAUGCAUCGGAACGUACCUUUCAGUGGGGGAUAACGUAGCGAAAGUUACGCUAAUACCGCAUAUUCUGUGAGCAGGAAAGCAGGGGAUCGCAAGACCUUGCGCUGAUUGAGCGGCCGAUGUCAGAUUAGCUAGUUGGUGAGGUAAAGGCUCACCAAGGCGACGAUCUGUAGCGGGUCUGAGAGGAUGAUCCGCCACACUGGAACUGAGACACGGUCCAGACUCCUACGGGAGGCAGCAGUGGGGAAUUUUGGACAAUGGGGGCAACCCUGAUCCAGCCAUGCCGCGUGAGUGAAGAAGGCCUUCGGGUUGUAAGGCUC